rnacentral:rRNA from 1 species
GCGGCAGGCCUAACACAUGCAAGUCGAACGGUAACAGGAAACAGCUUGCUGUUUCGCUGACGAGUGGCGGACGGGUGAGUAAUGUCUGGGAAACUGCCUGAUGGAGGGGGAUAACUACUGGAAACGGUAGCUAAUACCGCAUAACGUCGCAAGACCAAAGAGGGGGACCCUCGGGCCUCUUGCCAUCGGAUGUGCCCAGAUGGGAUUAGCUUGUUGGUGGGGUAACGGCUCACCAAGGCGACGAUCCCUAGCUGGUCUGAGAGGAUGACCAGCCACACUGGAACUGAGACACGGUCCAGACUCCUACGGGAGGCAGCAGUGGGGAAUAUUGCACAAUGGGCGCAAGCCUGAUGCAGCCAUGCCGCGUGUAUGAAGAAGGCCUUCGGGUUGUAAAGUACUUUCAGCGGGGAGGAAGGGAGUAAAGUUAAUACCUUUGCUCAUUGACGUUACCCGCAGAAGAAGCACCGGCUAACUCCAUGCCAGCAGCCGCGGUAAUACGGAGGGUGCAAGCGUUAAUCGGAAUUACUGGGCGUAAAGCGCACGCAGGCGGUUUGUUAAGUCAGAUGUGAAAUCCCCGGGCUCAACCUGGGAACUGCAUCUGAUACUGGCAAGCUUGAGUCUCGUAGAGGGGGGUAGAAUUCCAGGUGUAGCGGUGAAAUGCGUAGAGAUCUGGAGGAAUACCGGUGGCGAAGGCGGCCCCCUGGACG